rnacentral:rRNA from 1 species
AUGAUUGAUAAAAGAAAGAAGUUAUCCUCUUCUAGUGAUGUUCUUCUUGGUGAAGAUGCGUCACAAGCACAAGAUUGGAUAUGCGAAGAUGCAUACAUUGAUGAUGAGUUUGAUCCCACUACGGGGGUGCCAUACAACAUCAUUGAUGAAGCAAUGGAGGAAAGCGAACCUACAGAGCUUCGUAGGAGUGCACGAGUUAGAGAACUCCAUGAAGUUGAAGAAUACGUUGAGGAUGAUGAUGAUGAAUCUGAUCAUGGGGUAGAUAUGGAGGAUGAUGAGAUCGAUUACGAGUCCGAUGAUGAUGGGGUGAUGGCAACCAAAGAUGAUGAUGAUGAUGAUGAGCCCCCGCAGCCUUGA